rnacentral:rRNA from 1 species
UACGGAGGGUGCAAGCGUUAUCCGGAUUCACUGGGUUUAAAGGGUGCGUAGGCGGGCAGGUAAGUCCGUGGUGAAAUCCCCGAGCUUAACUCGGGAACUGCCAUGGAUACUAUUUGUCUUGAAUAUUGUGGAGGUGAGCGGAAUAUGUCAUGUAGCGGUGAAAUGCUUAGAUAUGACAUAGAACACCAAUUGCAAAGGCAGCUCACUACACAAUCAUUGACGCUGAGGCACGAAAGCGUGGGGAUCAAACAGG